rnacentral:rRNA from 1 species
UACGUAGGGGGCGAGCGUUGUCCGGAGUUACUGGGCGUAAAGCGCACGCAGGCGGUCUGCUAAGUUUGGAGUGACAGUUGGUGGCUUAACUGCCAAAGUGGUUCGAAAACUGACAGACUUGAGGGCUUCAGAGGGACACGGAAUUCCGGGUGGAGUGGUGAAAUGCGUAGAGAUCCGGAGGAACACCAAAGGCGAAGGCAGUGUCCUGGGGAGUACCUGACGCUCAGGUGCGAAAGCCAGGGGAGCGAACGGG